rnacentral:rRNA from 1 species
AGUGAACGCUGGCGGUAGGCCUAACACAUGCAAGUCGAACGGCAGCACAGUAAGAGCUUGCUCUUACGGGUGGCGAGUGGCGGGCGGGUGAGGAAUACAUCGGAAUCUACUUUUUCGUGGGGGAUAACGUAGGGAAACUUACGCUAAUACCGCAUACGACCUACGGGUGAAAGCAGGGGAUCUUCGGACCUUGCGCGAUUGAAUGAGCCGAUGUCGGAUUAGCUAGUUGGCGGGGUAAAGGCCCACCAAGGCGACGAUCCGUAGCUGGUCUGAGAGGAUGAUCGGCGACACUGGAACUGAGACACGGUCCAGACUCCUACGGGAGGCAGCAGUGGGGAAUAUUGGACAAUGGGCGCAAGCCUGAUCCAGCCAUACCGCGUGGGUGAAGAAGGCCUUCGGGUUGUAAAGCCCUUUUGUUGGGAAAGAAAAGCAGCAGGUUGAUACCCCGCUGUUCUGACGGUACCCAAAGAAUAAGCACCGGCUAACUUCGUG